UCGUGGGGCAGCAGGACUGUAGCAAUACAGUUGCUGGCGACCGGCAAACGGGUGCGGAACACGUACGCAAUCUACCCAAAACUGGUGAAUAGCCCUCCGAAAGGAGGAUUAAUACACCGUAACCUAUUGAAGUGGCAUCACUUUAUUAGUAUAGCUCCGGCGGUUUUGGAUGAGCGUGCGGCUGAUUAGGUAGUUGGCGGGGUAACGGCCCACCAAGCCUGCGAUCAGUAACUGGUGUGAGAGCACGACCAGUCACACGGGCACUGAGACACGGGCCCGACUCCUACGGGAGGCAGCAGUAAGGAAUAUUGGUCAAUGGACGCAAGUCUGAACCAGCCAUGCCGCGUGGAGGAUGAAGGCCCUCUGGGUUGUAAACUUCUUUUAUCUGGGACGAAACCCUCAUAUUCUUAUGAGACUGACGGUACCAGAGGAAUAAGCACCGGCUAACUCCGUGCCAGCAGCCGCGGUAAUACGGAGGGUGCAAGCGUUA
rnacentral:rRNA from 1 species